UCGGCGUCUAAGGUAGGCUCCCAUCUACAUUACCUUACUGAUGAGUCCAGUAGUGAAAGCCGGGACAAAACGCCAA
rnacentral:hammerhead_ribozyme from 15 species